GUUUAGAGUGGAGAAAGCGAAUUUAUAUAACCUACCCCAAAUAAAUUUUUUGAAUAAAAACUUAGUUGAAUUGAGUUGAGUUGAAUUGUGAUUGUAUGUUCAAUUUAUUCAAAGCGGUUAAUUUGUUGUAUAUUCAAUUUUUCCUCUGCGAUUGAUAUGUUUACUUGAGAUUUAUGCAAUGGAAAUUGUAAAUUUUUCAAGUUGUUUGGAUAGAAUAAAUUUCUACAAAUUUUUUUUAAGGUUUUGAGUAUUAAUUUCUUAAAUAUGAUAUGAAAUUAAGUAAUAUUGAAUAUUUUUGCCACUGAUGACACUCGUGCGCAAGCCUACGCAUUGCCUUAAUGCGCCUUUAAUAACUAUGCCAACCCAACUCCAAGAAACAAUAAACCAGCAUUCAAAACAAGAAGAUUGAAAAAAAUAGUGAAGAAGAUUAUUUUAA
rnacentral:misc_RNA from 1 species